AUUACGCUCUUGCUGCGUAGUCGAAGUACAGUAGACUGGACGCUUAAUCGCAGUGCCAUUGCAUAGCGACAAGACAUCGCUCUAGUAGCUUCCGCCUUGUAGCGACUAGUUAUAGCGGUGCCGUAAAUACAAGGUCCCCAACCUCUACAUCACCUAAAGGUUAAGGGUAUUAUGGUGGUUAAGGAGCGAGAAUAGUAGUCUCUGCUGGUGCUCACUCCCGACAAUCUGAAGAGAGACUAAACAUGUAGAAAGCCAACUAUAGCCGUGUUUGGACCGGGGUUCAACCCCCCGCAUCUCCACAC
rnacentral:tmRNA from 1 species